GUUCUUCGGAACUAGAGACCGGCGCACGGGUGCGUAACGCGUAUGCAAUCUACCUUUUACAGAGGGAUAGCCCAGAGAAAUUUGGAUUAAUACCUCAUAGUAUUAUGAAAUGGCAUCAUUUUAUAAUUAAAGUCACAACGGUAAAAGAUGAGCAUGCGUCCCAUUAGCUAGUUGGUAAGGUAACGGCUUACCAAGGCUACGAUGGGUAGGGGUCCUGAGAGGGAGAUCCCCCACACUGGUACUGAGACACGGACCAGACUCCUACGGGAGGCAGCAGUGAGGAAUAUUGGACAAUGGGCGCAAGCCUGAUCCAGCCAUGCCGCGUGCAGGAUGACGGUCCUAUGGAUUGUAAACUGCUUUUAUACGAGAAGAAACACUACUUCGUGAAGUAGCUUGACGGUAUCGUAAGAAUAAGGAUCGGCUAACUCCGUGCCAGCAGCCGCGGUAAUACGGAGGAUCCAAGCGUUAUCCGGAAUCAUUGGGUUUAAAGGGUCCGUAGGCGGUUUAAUAAGUCAGUGGUGAAAGCCCAUCGCUCAACGGUGGAACGGCCAUUGAUACUGUUAAACUUGAAUUAUUAGGAAGUAACUAGAAUAUGUAGUGUAGCGGUGAAAUGCUUAGAGAUUACAUGGAAUACCAAUUGCGAAGGCAGGUUACUACUAAUGGAUUGACGCUGAUGGACGAAAGCGUGGGUAGCGAACAGGAUUAGAUACCCUGGUAGUCCACGCCGUAAACGAUGGAUACUAGCUGUUGGGAGCAAUCUCAGUGGCUAAGCGAAAGUGAUAAGUAUCCCACCUGGGGAGUACGUUCGCAAGAAUGAAACUCAAAGGAAUUGACGGGGGCCCGCACAAGCGGUGGAGCAUGUGGUUUAAUUCGAUGAUACGCGAGGAA
rnacentral:rRNA from 1 species